rnacentral:rRNA from 1 species
UACGUAGGGUGCAAGCGUUGUCCGGAAUUAUUGGGCGUAAAGAGCUCGUAGGCGGUCUGUCGCGUCUGCUGUGAAAACCUAGGGCUUAACUCGGGCGUGCAGUGGGUACGGGCAGGCUAGAGUGCGGUAGGGGAGACUGGAAUUCCUGGUGUAGCGGUGAAAUGCGCAGAUAUCAGGAGGAACACCGGUGGCGAAGGCGGGUCUCUGGGCCGUAACUGACGCUGAGGAGCGAAAGCAUGGGGAGCGAACAGG